UGUUCAUUAGACUGAGGUGAGUGAUAGGCCUAUAGUGGUCACUCGCUUACGUUGCGUUGAUGUUGCGCUUGCCGCUCAGCCCACCUCUGCGAACAAGUGCAAUUGCGCAAAACAUUUUUUUAGUAAUAGGUAAAUUAGUAUGUCUACAGUUACAGGUACCGUUAAGUGGUUCAAUGAAACCAAAGGCUUCGGUUUUAUUGAGCAAGAAGGCGGACCCGACGUGUUCGUUCACUUCAGUGCGAUUCAAGGCGAUGGCUUCAAAACCCUCGCUGAUGGCCAAAAAGUUGAGUUCACAGUCACAGCUGGCCAAAAAGGACCUCAAGCCGAGAACGUUGUUCCGGUCUAAGUUUUUCUUUCCCGCAUAAAAAAAGCCGCCCUUGGGCGGCUUUUUCAU
rnacentral:sRNA from 1 species